ensembl:lncRNA
CAUCCCAACCCCUUGGAUAUGGAGGGAGAGGGAAAAGCUGCCAACACAGACAAGCAGGAGCAGCCUCAGGAAUGUGGGAUAUUCUCCAGCCCUCCUCAUUGUCCAGGUGUAAACCUGAGAGAUCCUGUGCAGAAGCAGCCUCAGGAAUUUGGGAUAUUCUCCAGCCUUCACUGCCUGAUAGCCCUGACUCUACCAGGUGUAAUCCUGAGAGAUCCUGUGCAGGAGAAGCCUUCUUCCCCAGCCCCCUGGGCAGAGGAUGGAUGUGCUGAGGGACCCCUUGGUGGCAUCUGGAGUGGCCCAGACAGGGGAACCCCUUAAGGCUGGAAGCUCCGUUGUGCAAGUGUGUCUGGAUUCCACCCCUGUGAAUCCAGCUUUCCUUAUUGGAUGGAUGGACGGAUGGAUGGAUGGAUGGAUGGAUGGAUGGAUGGAUGGAUGGAUGGUUGGAUGGAUGGUUGGAUGGAUGGAUGGAUGGAUGGAUGGAUGGAUGGAUGGAUGGAUGGAUGGAUGGAUGGAUGGAUGGAUGGGGGAUGGAUGGAUGGAUGGAUGGAUGGAUGGAUGGAUGGAAGGACGGACAGACAGAUGGACAUAUUGGCAACUUAGCUGGUGACCUGCCCCCCUUUCCUGAGCGCUCCAGGAGAAAAUGUCUUCAGGCACAUUUUUGGGACACAGGAGCAGUCAUAAGCUCCUGGUGAAAAUCCAUGCUGGUCCACAUUAUGUGUGAAAAACCCAAAGAGAUGCUCUGGAUCUCAUCCCACCUGCUCUGGUGCACCUAGGGAGGGAUGAUCCCAGCAGAACCCCAGGUUCCAGAGCAGGACACUGAGAACCAGCUCCGGUGCAGAGCGAGAAGGGAAAUGUGAGCCUGUGGAAGAGCAGAUGGGAAAUGUGACCCUGGGGGACACCGAAAACGAAGAGGGAACUGCGUGGUCUUGUGGCUUUCAGCUUGAUUCCACGCACAAGGGGAUCUUAAAGUGCACCAUCCUCAUUGCUGAGGAGCUCUGGAGCUUCUGGGCAGUGUCCCCAGCCCUGGCAGAGGAGCUGGAGCCUCACUGGCACGGGGCGCCCACAAGCUGUGUGAAAAUAGGUGACUCGCUGGAAGAGAAAAAGCUAAAAAUAUCCUGACUGAGGCAAGAAUUCAUCACUCACUCACUCACUCACUCUCUCAGCUCUUAUUAUGCAUCACAGAGAGCUGCUGCACAAAGAGAUGCCCGGGCAUGAAUCACUCCCCGUGAGAUAUCCAAGAAUCCAGCCAGAGGUGGAACCCAAAUGGACCCAGAAUGCCCAGACAGGAACACAAAUGGACCCAGACCCCAAAUGUUCUGACCAGCAGCUCCUGUUCAUGCUCCUGUGAUCAUCCAGGAGACACUCUGGCCUUUUGGGAAAGAUAUCCAGGGGUAUCUGAAAGACAUGUAUUCAAAAAGGCUGAAGGGGAGCAGUGACCAAAGCCCAGGCACCACCCUCAGCCUAAAAGUUCAGGGGAAAGGGGUUUUGAGGAUGCAUAAAAUAGAAGAGAGAGGGGUCAGCAUCACAAGCCCAUGUCUCCUCCUGCAUGGGCUCCCAC